rnacentral:lncRNA from 1 species
GGGAUGUCAUGUCUCCUGAAAUAACUCGCCCUGAGUUAUCAGAGUGAGACUGCUGAAGAACAUUGGUGGAUCAGAAAGGACAUUCCAAUCAAGAGAGAAGGAACUGAACCAAGAAAAGGCUGAAGCUGGUGACUAUGUCCCUUCCAGUGAUGGGAUCCAGGGCUGCAGCAGCCUGGGCAUCAGAGAGUUUUAAGUAGUAUUCAAAAGCAAAUAGGCUGCACCUUCCCUCCCCCACCCCUUCUACUCUACAGAAGAGUUACUUCAAAACACAAUCUCCUCAAUACCAGAAAGUUCCUCCAGAGGGCUAUAGGUGCAGAUCAAUCAUCACCUCCUCCUGAGAGUCUUCUCUGAUCACAACUGUCCCUUCUCUAGUUCCCCCAUUAGAUGCCCCUGUCUAUGAUCCAGUGAGACCUUUUAUAUUGCACUGUAAAUACUGCCCUACUCCUAUGUCUUCCUGUAAACCAUGUGUUCCUUGAGGGCAGAAGUUAUAGGGAAGGAAAAAUAAUUCUCCCUCUACCUCUCUGAGUUUUUGUCUGAAACUCUUCCAACAAAAAAACAGGUUAAUGGGGCACCAGGGUGGCUCAGUCAGUUGAGUGUCCAAUUCUUGAUUUUGGCUCAGGUCAUGAUCUCAAAGUCUGUGGGAUUAAGUCCCACAACAGGUCCCAUGCUGACAGUGUAGAGCCUUCUUGGGAUUCUCUCUCUCUCCCUCUCUCUCUGCUCCUCUCCCAACUAUUUCUCUUUCUCUCUCUUUCAAAAUAAAUAAAUAAACUUAAGAGAAGAUUAAUAACAGAAAACAAAUAGACAUUGAUUAAAAUGUAUAUCCCAUAUUUACAUGACAGAUACACAUAGGGAAAAAUGAGUAACUCAAAGGGGAGGCUUAGAGUUCAAGCUUAAAAAAAAAAUCUUAAUAAGAAAAGGGGAGGGGCACCUGGGUGGCUCAGUUGGUUAAACAUCUGACUUCAGUUCAGGUCAUGAUCUCAUGAUUCAUGUGUUCAAACCCUGCAUCAGGCUCUCUGUUGUCAGCACAGAGCCCGCUUCGGAUCCUGUCUCCCUCUCUCUCCCUCUCUCUCUCUCUCUCAAAAAUAAAUAAACAUUUUAAAAAAUAAGAAACGGGGAGAGGGUAUAUAUAGGCAACUUAGAGGAGAGUGAAUGGUUUUUAGGAAAGAUGAAUGGGCCCUCAGAAAAGUAGAUAGGAGGUGUGAUUGUUUGUGACAAAGUUUGUCUGGCUGUGGUGUUCAUUUCCAGUCUCCUCUCCUGUGAUAAGAGACAAUCUUCCCUGGUUGAUAAAACUCUUAAGAGGGUAUGUAUGACAACUGAGUUCUUUUUUGGAGGAUCUGUCUUGGAGCAGAUAAGGGAUGUUCAUAGAAAGUCCCUUCCUGCAUUUGCCACUUUUCAAGUACCUACAGCUUAACAUACAUAAUCGAUAUGCCAAAGUAACAUAUUUUGGAGUGGCAUAUUUUGGGGUAACAUAACCUUCAAGGUUAUGUUAUGUCUUUAACAGGGGCCUAGCACAAUUCCUGGCACAUAGUAAGUGCUCAGUAAAUGUCUAAUGGAUAAGUGAAUGAAUGAAAUUACAAAGGGAGAUAAAUUACAGUCAUGCCCUUAAACUGCUAAAAACCUAGAAAGGUGGACAAGACUAGAAACCAAAGAUUUAGGACAAAGCAGAAUAUUAAAAGGUGCAAUUAAAACUCUAUAUGAAUUUAAAAGAAGACGGGCACCUGGGUGGCUCAGUCAGUUAAGCAUCCGACUGACUCAGGUCAUGACCUCACAGUUAGUGAGUUCGAGCCCCACGUCAGGCUCUGUGCUGACAGCUCAGAGCCUGGAGCCUGCUUUGGAUUCUGUUUCUCCCUCUCUCGCUGCCCCUCCCUCAUUCAUGCUCUAUCUCUCAAAGAUAAAUAAACAUUAAAAAAAUUUUUUUAAAGAAGAAACCAUUCCAGGAGGAAAGGAAAAACAUGAGGCUUUAAACAGGAUCUUAAACAAGGAAUGACAUCCAAGAAGAGACAGGACCUCUGCAGUCUUUACUGGGCUCCCAAGGCCCCCAACCAUAUCUCCUACAAGCCCCUCACUCCCUUCACACCAGCCAUACUGACCUCUCACUUUUCUCUCAAGCUCACCAGCAAUUCUCUACCUCAGGGCAUUUGCGCCUAUAAUUCCUUCUGUUUGGAGUGUUCUUCCUGCAGAUACUUGACUGGUGAACUUCCUCACUUCCUUCACAUCUUUGCUUCAGUGUUACUUCUCUAACCACUCUGCUCUAAACUGAAACCCACCAUACCCCAUCCCUGCUACCAAUGCUUUUAUCCUUCCCUGCUUCGAUUUGUCUUUUUUUUUUUUUUUUUAAUGAUAGGUCUUAUUAAGCAUACGCUAAAGCAACUUUUUAAACUGACUAAUUGUAAACUCAGGCCCAAGUUUUAUUUCAACUCACCACAGGGAAAAGACUCCUGAGAAAGCCAAUUCCCAGAUUUUUUUCUUGUUAGACACGUUUCUAGCAUGGGGAGAGUGGUUAGAUAAUAUUGUUAGACUAGGUACAACAAAAGAUGUCUGGUUAAAAGUUAUUAGGACUGGCACAAGACAGAUGAUUAGCUGAGCUGAAAAAUCUAACUUCCCAAAAGGGAACCUUAAUCUCAUUCAAGUGUAGUGGCAUAAAUAGCAUAUUUAACACUCAGAGCAGGCCAUUUUUUCUCUCUCCUCCUUACAGUAGAAUUCGUUUUAGGAAUAAUCAUGAAAUUAGCAAUAAUAAUGGCCAGAGGAGAAUCAGAAACUGUGGACAUUUUCUAUCAUUGAUCCUUCUACACAUAUGCAUGCCAAUAAUAAAAUUUAACAAUGAACAAAGAAAAAAAAUAAAUAUCACAGUACAAAAAGGGAAUAAAAGCAAUGGGUUGAUAAUUUUCAUCUCAUUUAUUCUCUUUUUUUGGAAAAAAAGAGAAAUAGUAUGCCUACAAAAUAUUUGCCUCAGAAAUGAAUACAUUUCGGUUUAAUAACAAAUAAUAAUUUUCUAAGAAUGAGACUGGUGUUGGAAAUCACCCCGAAUGCAGUGAUGGCCAAUCUGCAGGUGAGAAGCAUGGCCAUCAACCCUCCCCUUCUGCAUGUCUGCCGGGGGACUGACCUGGGCUUUCCGUCAGACAGUGACGAAGACCAAAGCACAGGACUCUUCCCUCAACACUUUGGGUCACCACACAAUAAAGAUGAAAGACAGGGGGGAAAAAUAAGAAUUUUCUAAAAACAAAUUUCUAUUUUAAAGAUAUUAUUCAAAUGCAGUAGAAUAUCUCAUGUAUGAACUGAAAUUUUCACUUACCAAGCAAAAAUAUGCCACUUCACUAUUCACACUCUGUUUCAUUGUUCUAAAUUGCAAACACAGAUAAAAUCUUCAAGUGGUCAUAAGGAAUGACAGAAUUGAUACAACCUGAGUUGUUCUAUUUCUUUGCCUCAACAAUCACUCAGCUAUUGUUGUUUACAUCAAAUCUACUAUUUACAUGCAAACACGGAUACUAAGCUGGGGAUAGAGGACAUGUACUGAAGCAAACCCUAAUAAUACUGCAUUUACUUUGCCAGGGGCAGGGGAGAACACUUUAUUAGUAGGAAUUAUCUACAUGGAUUUUCCUGUACAACGCAAUAUUUAUUAAAUAGGCAAUGCACAUGUGCUACUUGGUGUUUACAUGUAUAUUAAAAUUGAACAGUAACCAUAACAAUUGUUUAGAAAUUAGAUCAACAAAAGGUUUUCUCAAAGAAGAAUACUCUAUUACUGGCAUUGUUUAAAAGUACCAGUCUAUCUAUGGUGACAAUUACAAGAAGACCAACUUUGUGUCAGUUUCAUCACUAUUUUGUUACUCUCAAGCCCUUUUUGCUGGCACUGGGGUGGAUAUUCCCAUUGUCUUCCCCUUGCUAGGCCUCAGCUCUCAUCUAACAAAGUAUUCUGGAAGCAUUUUAUCAGAAAUCCAAAAAGUUGGGUUUCGGAUAAUUCUCUUUCUCAUGUAAUAGGUAAUUUACUUAAUUAUUUUGUUUAUUGCUUAUCUCCUCCAUAAGGGCAGGGAUACAUGUCUGUUUUACUCAUUGUUAUAUUCCAAACAUCUAGAACAGCAUCUGGCGCAUGGGAAGUACCCGACAUUUAUUUGAUUAAAUUGAAAAAUCUUCACUAAUUCUCAGCUAUCAUUAAUUUAUGGAUAGAUUCUCAUCUGUGUUGAAUGAACUGUCUUUCUCUCCAAAGAGCAAUGUCCACGACCCAACAAGCUGCUCCCCCAGUUUUUGCAGUAUCACAAUUAAGAAUUCUUGUUCGCAAUCACAUAAGCCCCGUGUCCCUUCCCAGAACUGUGGAGCUGUGCCUGCUAAUUCUCCAAGUUCAUUCUGAGGACACUAAUUCUGGGAGGUAGUAAUGCUGGUCUGCAGGAGGAGACAGGAGAAAAAGACCCUGGGAUCAAAUCAGUUUAGGAAGUUUUUUAUUAAACAAAAUUAAGGAAACAUCAUUUUGUUUUUGUUUUUUUCCACUGCAACACAUUUCAGGGCUUAUGCUAUAUUGUCAUUGUGACUCUCCAGUAUUAUAAGCAGGAUUUCCAAAACUUAUGCGAUCAUAAUUGUGAAAAUUUCUGAAAAAUUCUGUACUUUAGUAAAGUGAUCUCCUGACCUCCUAGCACUGUGGACUCUUACUCCAAACAUGAAUAUGAUCAAAGUGGCUGCCCCACGGGACAGCUGUGAGAAGAAACGAAUCCACAGGCAGUACAUUGAACCAUUGAACACUGACUGAUGCAUGAUCAACAUGCAGUGAAUGUUAGCUAUUGGUCAUAUAAUUUUGUGUGCAGUUACCUUAAUCUGAGGAACUCAGUAUUUUUCUUACUCCAUUUUAUAAAUGGACAAACCAAGGCAGAGAGAGAAAAAAAUUGGCUUGGAAAAAAACAAAAACAAAACCACCAAAAAACCAUUGCCAGUAAGAUGACUUUAAGCAAUAGUAAGGCAAUGAAAAUCACAAACAAUGACAAUAUAGUUUGUCCUCAAAUUUAACAUAGUACUUUACAGUCAUGUUUAUCGUCCUAAUAUUCCCGUCAAACCCAGGGAAAUAUGACAGAAUGCCAGGGUAAACAGGGUCAUCUUCUUUGGAGUAUCCAUUUUGCGUCAGGAUUUGGGGAUAAAGAAGUGAACUACUUUAACUAAUAAUUUUAAAUAUAUGUACCUUUUAUUUUUUUAUUUUUUUAAUGUUUAUUUAUUUUUGAGAGAGACACAGAGCAUCAGUGGGGGAGGAGCAGAGAGAGAGGGAGACACAGAAUGCAAAGCAGGCUCCAGGCUCUGAGCUAUCAGCACAGAGCCCUACUCAGGGCUCGAACCCACGAACGGUGAGAUCAUGACCUGAGCCGAAGUUGGACGCUUAACCGACUGAGCCACCUAGGCGCCCCAAAUAUAUGUACCUUUUAAAUGGAACUAUUUCCGAAUUGAAUGCAAUUUAAUUUAAAGAAAAGAAAUUUUUAAAAAACAUGAACAUUCAAAGAAAUAUUUCCUGCCUGCAGGAGGCAGCAUUGAGCAAAACCUCAGCGCCCUUGAGCCCUCUUUCUCCUUCCUCUGACAGGAGGGGUACUUUGACAGCCGCCCUCAGAUGCACUGCCCAGUACUGAGCCCUAUGUGUAAACGAAGCAAAGACAAAAGAACAUAUGCUAUCAAAUGUGAUUCACAAUUCAAAUACGUUUUGGUGUCUUAUUCUUUUCACACUCUGAGAAACCAUCUGAUAAUGUGCUUGUUUUGUAAAAGAGUAAAACUCUUCAGAUAAUAUAAAGAUUUUAUAGCUGCUGCACAGAUUUAAUAAGCAAAAGACUUGCUAGCAUGAACCAAGUUCAAGCCAAACCACUGUACAAUUUAAUUCAACACAAUAUUCCUCUGUUUAAAGUGCAUGUAAUUGCCAAUUUAUAUAGUCACCAAGACCAAAGGUUUGCUAAAUAGAGUUCUGCAAACAAACACAGUAUGGAAAGCUUUAUCCCCAAGUACCUUACACCAAGAAUGAAUGAAGCUAAUCAUUAAUCAAUCAUGCAUCUAAUUCAUUCCCAGGACUUCUUUGAACUGUACAAUUAUAUCAAUGAAUAAAAUCAAACCCACCUAUGUUAGUAUUCCUCUAGACCUUAUCACCAUAAAGUUUUAAAAAAUCUUCACAAGCUCAACACAACAUGUAAAAUGAAAAUGACAUUAUCUUAAAUGGUAUUAGAUCAUUGUUUCCCUCCUUUAUCAAGAUUUCCUUUAUGAAGAGUUAUUCUUAAAUAGCACUGACCUUUCUGAAACUUUAUCCAAGUGCUCUCUUAUACUUAAAGAAGUUUUAAUUUAAUGCCUGAACAAUAUAGCACUUUUUUGUGGGUGGGUGUGUAUCUCAGUUAAGUACACCAUACUAUAAAAAUCCAUCUGGCAACUUUCCUUUUGCAUCUAGUUGUGAUUUUUGAGAUGCAUAAUACUGCAUACCGAUAAAUCUAUUGGCACUGACUGGAAGAGAAUAUUCAACAUUCAUGACAGAGGUUUUUUCUGGGGAACUGGAGAGAAGAAUGAGACAACAGGCAUGUGAACUUUGUAAUUUUAUUUACUGUAUUAAAUAUUGAAGUGAGU